rfam:Erinaceus europaeus unplaced genomic scaffold scaffold00646, whole genome shotgun sequence
GUGCUUGAUUCAGCAGUACGUAUACUAAAAUCGGAACGAUACAGGAAAGGUCAGCAUGGCCCCAGCUCAAGGAGGACAUGCACAGUCUUGAAGCAUUCCAUGUUUUA